rnacentral:rRNA from 1 species
CGGAGGAAAAGAAACCAACCGGGAUUGCCUCAGUAACGGCGAGUGAAGCGGCAUCAGCUCAAAUUUGAAAGCCCUCGGGCGUUGUAAUUUGCAGGGGAAGUGCUUGGGGCGGGUGCUGUCUACGUUCCUUGGAACAGGACGCCGCAGAGGGUGAGAGCCCCGUGCGAUGGCACCUUUAACCACAUAAGCCUUUUCCGACGAGUCGAGUUGUUUGGGAAUGCAGCUCAAAGUGGGUGGUAAAUUCCAUCUAAAGCUAAAUACUGGCGAGAGACCGAUAGCGAACAAGUACAGUGAUGGAAAGAUGAAAAGCACUUUGAAAAGAGAGUGAAACAGCACGUGAAAUUGUUGAAAGGGAAGGGUAUGCGAUUAGCGGCCAGCAGGAGGUGGUCUCUCGUGAAAAGGCCGGGCACCGUCCUCGGACACUGUGCGCGGAGAUGGCGAGGGGCCGCCUGAGGUCUGCGACUCUAGGUUGCUGGCGUAAUGAUUGCAUACCACCCGUCU